rnacentral:rRNA from 1 species
AGUGAACGCUGGCGGUAGGCCUAACACAUGCAAGUCGAACGGCAGCACAGUAAGAGCUUGCUCUUACGGGUGGCGAGUGGCGGACGGGUGAGGAAUACAUCGGAAUCUACUUUUUCGUGGGGGAUAACGUAGGGAAACUUACGCUAAUACCGCAUACGACCUACGGGUGAAAGCAGGGGAUCUUCGGACCUUGCGCGAUUGAAUGAGCCGAUGUCGGAUUAGCUAGUUGGCGGGGUAAAGGCCCACCAAGGCGACGAUCCGUAGCUGGUCUGAGAGGAUGAUCAGCCACACUGGAACUGAGACACGGUCCAGACUCCUACGGGAGGCAGCAGUGGGGAAUAUUGGACAAUGGGCGCAAGCCUGAUCCAGCAAUGCCGCGUGGGUGAAGAAGGCCUUCGGGUUGUAAAGCCCUUUUGUUGGGAAAGAAAAGCAGCAGGUUAAUACCCCGAUGUUCUGACGGUACCCAAAGAAUAAGCACCGGCUAACUUCGUG